UACGUAGGGUGCAGGCGUUAAUCGGAAUUACUGGGCGUAAAGCGCACGUAGGCGGCUUGGUAUGUCGGGUGUGAAAUCCCCGGGCUCAACCUGGGAACUGCAUCCGAAACUGCCUUGCUAGAGUAUGGGAGAGGGAAGUGGAAUUUCCGGUGUAGCGGUGAAAUGCGUAGAUAUCGGAAGGAACAUCAGUGGCGAAGGCGACUUCCUGGACCAAUACUGACGCUCAGGUGCGAAAGCGUGGGGAGCAAACAGG
rnacentral:rRNA from 1 species